CGGGAGGGACGCAGCGGGCCACCUGGUGCGCGCCAGCGGGGCCGCAAAGCCAGCCGGCCGGUGUGAACUUCGGGGCUACAGGAUCCGCUGGGCCGAACCUCCGGCCCCGCGGGCGGGGUGGCCAAGGAUGGUCGCCCACGUUUGCUUCCCAGGCUCUGAAACCACCCUGGACUAGCUCCCAGCUUUGCUUAAACAGUGCUACUCUUCUGGUGAGCAUGCAGGUGAGGGAGGUCCUGUUCGGCUGGAUGGUCUGCUCAGUUCUUUGCUGGCUUCCCCAGGCUUUGGACAGCUCAAGGUAGUAGAACUUAGAAACAGUAAACCCCCCCAGUGUUGAAAAAGCUGACCCUUAGAAUGAGGUGAAAAGCACUUUGCAAGAAUGGUGACCUCAGUAGAGCAAGCUGCUAUGUGAAUGCCCUCAGCUUCAGAGAGAAAACCUUUCCUAGGCUUUGAAACAGGGAGAGCCAGGAGAGUAUGCUAGGCUCACUUGAGGAGUGACGCUCUGAAAACUGCUUGUCACCGCCCGACGGGCCUCAGUACCCCCUCUCUUCUUGUCACCUGCAUGGCUGUGGGUGAGUCUUUGUUUUGUGUUCAAUACGGGUGAAUACAUACAUAUAAAUUCAUACUUAAAAGAUUGGAAUAAACUCAACUGUUUUAGGAAGCCACAUGGCAAUGUGAUUAGGACUGGUAUUCAUGAUUUAACAUUUCUUUUCCCUCUAGAUGAAGUUUCUAAGAUUCACAAGGCACAUGUCAAGGACGGGUGUAUAAAUGGAUUUUUAUUUAUUCACAACUCCACGACUAAUUGCUUCCCCUUGCCUCAAGGCCACGAGAUUGGUUUUAAUAUGACACUUCAAAAGUAUUCAUAGAACUCCAGAGAUAGCAAGUGUCAUUGUUUAAGAGACAAAUCUCACCGUGAUACUGCUGACCCUGAAAAAUAGCAGGUCCACUUGAUACCAACUAUAUUAAAAAUGCACAAUUUAAUCAGAACAAGGGCUGACCAUUUUGAAGGACCUUUAUUUCCUUGAUGCUCCCGGUCUUUGUCUCCACCGUCUAUCGUCUCUCAUCGAAUGGCUGAGCUCUGUGUGCGUCACGAAGGGAAUUCAGUUCUCAGCACCCACACAGCAGCUUACAACUGCCUGUAACUCCAGCUCCAGAGGACCCAACAUUCUCUUCUGGCCUCCGAGGGCAUCUGCACCCCCCCCCCCCGCCCCCAUCUGCCCCAGGCUCUUUUCCAGGACAGAAGCCUCUCUGGACAGCCUUCUUUCUCUUCUCAGGCAAUUCCUUCUCCUUGGGUUUGUUUUGGAGCCUGAGUGGGGAGCGUGUCUACCUGAGUCGCCUUGGGCACGCUCUCUCCUGUCUUCACAUGUGAUGUAGGAACAGUGAAAGACCUUAGCUCAUGGGAAGGCUGGGAAAAUCCGAGGAUCAAACAUGAUGACAGCGAUAACCACCAGGAUGGUGAUGACGACAACAACGAUGACGGUGGUGAUGAUGAUGACGACGAUGACGAUGACGACGACGAUGACGAUGAUGGUAGUGUUUGGCUGGAACUGAGGCAAUGGAAGCUUUUUUUUUCCCUUUCUUUACACCGGAGGAGCUGGAGAGUUCAAAUACGUUGUAAAAAAUUAAAACAUCGAUUCUUUUAGUAAUUAGAACUAAUUACAAACGAAUCCCCCACACCCUGGCAAUCUCAUUUUCUU
rnacentral:lncRNA from 1 species